rnacentral:lncRNA from 1 species
UGGUUCAAUUUGAGAUUGGAGAAGAUCUGGAUCUUAUACAAAAGUGGAUGAUUAAGGUUUUUUUUGAUUCUUACCUCUUAAACCAUCUGCUUUCUGAUGGUGGGCGGUAAGGAUUGGUGCAUGGGCUCCUUAGUGCUGUAUCCAAUGAUCAUUAAUGGAGCCGUUUCUAAAACCCAAUGAAAAUAAAACGGUGAACAAACUAGAAUGCUCCAUCCUUUCGUCCUCAAAAUUGUUCAAACUCUCUUGAGCACUCUCAAGGAACUGGUCGAACAUUCCAUUCAAAUAUUCAGGUUUUUUUUUGGCUGGG